rnacentral:lncRNA from 1 species
CCUCCUACGCUGCCCCUCUGGAGCCCCCUAACCACAAAUGGGUCACAGUCCUCUCAAGCAGUUCCAACAUCUAUCUGUUGUGGGGGACCUCCCUGCAUUGCAGAUUAAAGUUCUUCUACACCACCGAAAUGGAAACCACAAGCUGUUUGUAACCAGAUGGUGUCCAUGUGUUGGCAGUGGGUCUUCUGAUGCUGCUCCACCAAAGCUGGCAAAGGCACAGGCUGGAAAGACGUGAGAAAUUUCAAGAUCAGAAGAGGAAGAGCUCCUGCUAGGCUUUGUCCCACUGUAGAUCCCUCACUCAUUCAGCAUGCGGGAGAGGACUGGCUCUGUCUAAAAUAACAAAGGUAUAUUUUAAGAAUAAGACUCCCAAUUCAUCCAGGAUAUUGCCAAAAGCCUUUUUCUCUCCUUAAAAAAUCCCAUCACGUGUGGUCUCCUCUGUAGUUCAAUGCGUAGCUUAGCUUGACUUUUCCACUCAUCCUGUGCUCAUCCCCAAGGACAAGUCAUGCAUUCCAUCUCCAGGACCUCCCACACUUGAGGACCAGCUCUGCCCUCCCUCUGUGCUGCAGUAAUUGCUGCCUCCCCUGUGAGAAGGAGGGGUCUCACAUUAAUUUCUCUGAGGAGAAUGCCAGUAAUUUUUUUAGGCAGUUUUAUUUCCUCAGUAAUUUUAAGUUCAUCAGCUCACUGUUGUGCCUCGACCUAGCAGAAAGCCCUCAUUAGUCUGCCUUGCUCCUCUUCUCUCCCUCUUCUUGGGACAAGAUGGCUGGGAUUGUCUUUGUAAAAGACAG